rnacentral:tRNA from 1 species
GGAGAAAUAGAAUGUAAUUUGGUAUCAGGCUAGACUUGAAAUCUAGCAAUCGCAAAUGCGGUGUGUCGGUUCAAAUCCGACUUUCUCCU